UCUUAUAUGUGAUUUUCUCUUUUAUGGUUUUAUUUGUAAAAUCCCUAGUAAAGGUUUGAUAAGUAAGUAAGGAUUUGUCUUUAUUCUUUCUUAGUUACACUUGGUUUUCAGGUUUCAGUAUCUUAUUUCGUGUGUGUGUGUGUGUGUGUGUGUUUUCUCUCUCCCUUCAACUAGGCUGCACCUCGUGUGAUGACACCAUUGCUAAGUACUGUGCCAGACAUAAAAUCCACUCAGUUACUUCAUAUUUAUGGCUUUCCAAACGCAAGCUUUAAAAGAAAUUCCCGGGGAUAAGUAGGAUCAGAAAGACACCCAAUAAUAUGUGUGUGCACACGAUGGCGAGGAAAGCUGUGCUCCUGGUGGUUUAAAUAGCGGGAGAUGGCAAGGAAGAUGCAUUUUCCGGUUUAUCUACAUUCUUUAGGGAAGAGUUUGAUUUCUCUACAGAUUCUGAAGUGGCUUCCCAGUUACAGAUAUGCAAUUAUCCCAGUACAGGGGGAAAAAAAACCCUGAAGUACAACUUUUUGGAUGUGUAAAAUCACCAAGCAUGCAGCAAAUUAACGAGCGGCGGAGGGUGUGUUUUGUGGCAACUGGUUUCCAUUUCUGUAAUGUCGCUUGCCACCCCAAACUCCAAGCGGUGCCAGAUUCCAGGGUUUUCAGGCACUUACCCAGGGUUUGGAAUGAGGGACAGCAGAGGCUGUGGUGUCUGUAUGAUAUAUGGUUUAUUUACACAUAUACACAACCUGAGCCUAGAAUGGAAGGGUUCACAGCAUUUACCCUCAAGAGGGUAUUGGUUUCAGAAAUCAGGCAUUGCUCUCCCUUGCAGGCUUCAGCCUGUUUCUUCCUCCAGUUUCCAGCUUACAUGCACACACAACUUAGCUCUGGCCUUUGUCUCGUCUAACUAACUACCAAUGAGUUGAAGGAGGAGAGCUCACCCAUUUGGCAUCUGGCACAGAGCCACUUCCUUUGUUACCUUCACGACCCAGAUUUAGAGGACUGUUAUCACACCAGGACGUUAGCCUGGCUAUUCCGGGAAUUUGAAUCCUGGCUUGGAUUUUGACGCUUGCUCUAUCCAGAAAUUAGAAGGGUCUAAGAACACAGACUAAUCCACCCUUAAUCAAAAACCUCGCAACACUGUUAUGAAUCUGUAGCCCGCCUGCCUUAUCUGCACCAAAAUGUAUAUUUAACUUACGUUGUGCUUUUUGACAUCACCAGGCGAUGAGCAUCAGGGUCACACGCAUGCUCAGCAAACAAUGGUGACUUGUAUGCAUGGAACAACUGCUGUAUAUCAAACACCGUGGAGCCUAGAUAGUGGCCAUUGCAGAUGCAACCAUCCCUGACCACUGGGCAUGCUGGUUGAGACUGCUGAGAGGUGGUAAAGUCCCACAGGUUGCUGUUCUCCGGAUCACUGUCCCUCCCUCUCUCACAUGCCAACAUGUUGUCCCCCCACCAAGAAGGGGAUUUAGGGCAGUGCAAGCAGUGAGGUUGCACCAGGCAUGUACCCAAGCAGGACACCUUCUCAAAACCCGGUAAGCGCUUGUCUGGCUUCGGAAAGGAGGUGGGAGGGCACUGACAGGGCCAUAGGCUCCUCCUGCCUCCUUUCCAAAGUCAGGCAAGGGCUUACCGGGCUUUAGGAAGGAGGUAGGAGGGCUCUAGGACCCUGAGCGAGUUUUGUGCCUUCUUCCCCAAGCCCGGCUUAAGCAAGGGCCGGGGAGAGAGCAUCAAAUGGCCCUGCACAGGGUGAAAUAUUAUGAAGGUCCACCCCUGCCUCACCUGCAGGGUUGCCAUAUUCCCAAAAGCGAAAAUCUGGACAAAUCUUGGCAAGGGGGCAAAGUUGUUGAGCUUUUGGGGGGAACAUCUCCCCCUUUUUUUCUUUAAAAAAAUUGCCCUAGUUGCCGAUUCUGUCAAAAGUCCCACUGGACGCCAUUUUGACAGUGUCUGGUGAAACCCGGACGUACGGCAACCCGUAAGACCUGGAACGAUCAAAUUUUGUCCUAGAAUUUUGCAAGUUGACAUCAAAACACACAAAAGUUGGGAUUUGGGGAUUAUCUGCAAAGAAUGCAAGAAACAGCCGGGUUUUCUUCUGUUUUCUCUCUCAAUGCAAAGUAACAGCAGCUCAGCUUGGCUCACAUGAAGAAGGCCUCUCAUUUCCCCCCCCCCUCGAAGUGGCACCGGGGGAGACUGACAGAGGCAGAAAGCAAUUAUCGGGGUUGAAAUCUUGCCAGGCUAACAGGCAGAGACACCUCUCCUCUUCUUCAAGAGCUGCAGGCAUGGAAUAAUUACAACGGGGCACGAUCUCCCAUUUUGAUACCUGUAUCCCAGCCACCGACGUCUUGCCCCGGCUGCAUCAGCUGUCAGACGGCCUCCUGCUGUGCAAACAACAGGCCAGGUAAGGUCUCAGAAAAACAUCUCCCCACAGGUGAUCUCCACCUUUGCCUGUGGAAAUCAGAAGAGGGGUCUUGGCAGGUGCUGGCCCGGGCUGUUGGAUACUUGCCAGAUCUCUGCAAGGCUGGAGGUGACUAGCUGGUACCUCGUUGCUUCCUUGCAUGGAAACAUCUCCUUGGUGGAUCCAGAGCUUGGCUCCAUGUUCUGCUCAAUCUUGCAAUAGAGGCUGGUCCAUUGGGAUGAAUGGGGCACUGCCCCACCAAGCUCAGCUUUACCCUCACUUUACCCCACCCCACAUUAGUAUACCGCUUGAUUGUAAUAAACCCUCAAAGCAGUUUGCAAAAAGCCAUGCAGUUUUAAUGUGGAUUUUUAAAAAUCGAUUUGGUUUAUUUUCACAAGGUUUGUCCAACCAGUCCAGCAAAGCAGAGGAGGAAAUGAUAGCUAGCCUUUUUUCCCUCAACAGGGAGGAGGAUGGACACAACUAGAAUAAGUUGACUCACCUGUUUUCACCUCUCUGCUGUGAUACAUUAUUGCAGUCAAACCAACAAGUCAUGUCUUGCUAGAGAGGAACACGAAGGUGCUGAGGCUCACAGAGCUUUGCUGUAAAAUUUUGCUAGAGAGAACUCUGUCAGAUCACUUCCCUUGUCUGCCUUGUCAGGAAGCUGUAACGCUACAUACUUCCUGCCUGGGCAGCCUCCUCUUUCUUCAUCAUGUCUCCAAGCUGACCACACAUGAAUGUCUGAGCUCUGCAGCUCUGACACCACUUUGAACUUAGAUUUUGGACUUUUGUAACUUAGAUAGUAGUUACAAAAGUCCAAAAUCCUGCCUUCAUUUUGCUACUGUACCUGUUGCUUCAAGACCUAGAUUAUUUAAUGAGAGAGCAAGGAGACGGGAGACUCAGCCCAGGAGGGAAGCGAAGUGCUGGCAACCCCCAGAUUUGCUUUUCUGCCGCUUGGUUAUAAUCCUUCAUUGGAACUGACACAUUGAUAGCCACAGUUUUUUCGCGGAAGUGACCUUCAUGUUGUCCAUCGAUUCCCAGUGGCUAUCAACAACUCGCAAUUGGAGUGACAGCCCCGGUCAAAGAUAAUUGUAUUGCUUUAUUCAUUCCUAUAAACCGUUUUGAGGUUCUAUUGCAAUCAAGCAGUACAGAAAUCUUGUGAGAUAAAUAAGAAAUAAAACAGCUGAUGAAAUUGGACAUCUCACUGAAGACCAUGAAGACAGGGAAGAAAGAAAAACGGCCUGAUGAGUCCUUUCUAAAAUGAGAUUGAAUUUCAACCCUGAAACUCGACAAAGGUUUAGGAUCACAAACCGGCUUGCUAUAAUAGGAUCAGAAUGAAAAUCGCCUUAAGACCAUUGACCUGCUUUUCAAAAUGCCAGCACCAUGGGAGGAAAACCCAGAAGAACUGUUAAGAGAAGAGUGACUACAUUUAGAAAGAAGAGAACAUCUACCAUUAAAGAGAGUGCAUCCCAGCCUGGUAAGUAGCAGCAAAGUGAUGUCAUGACGAGGUCCAUUAUAUAGGCAGAUAUGCACCUCCCAACCAUGUGCUUUCUCCAUAGUCCUUUUGGACAGUUUUCCACCUUAAGUAACUGAUAAAAUAUUUAAAGCAGGAUACAUCUCUGCAUAGA